rnacentral:rRNA from 1 species
UACGGAGGGUGCAAGCGUUAUCCGGAUUUACUGGGUUUAAAGGGUGCGUAGGUGGGCAGUUAAGUCAGUGGUGAAAUCUCCGAGCUUAACUCGGAAACUGCCAUUGAUACUAUCUGUCUUGAAUAUCCUGGAGGUGAGCGGAAUAUGUCAUGUAGCGGUGAAAUGCUUAGAUAUGACAUAGAACACCAAUUGCGAAGGCAGCUCACUACGGGAUUAUUUGACACUGAGGCACGAAAGCGUGGGGAGUC